GGCAGCUGCGACACGGGCAGGCAGUCACAUGAUUCGCGCAAAGCCCAGCUGCCCAAUUCCAAUAUGGUGGCCAGCUUGGCAGACCUACGGUUCUUGUUGAUGAUAUUAUUGCUCUGCUGGAGGAUCAGGGACGGCUCCUGCACCCAGCAAGCCCCGUGGGUUCUGGGGCUGCGACUGGAGGACCCAGAAGGCCAGGUGUAUAUGAAGGGGCGGAUCAUCUCUGCGCCGCAAGGGGCCAGUUUCAAGCUUCGGCUGUUUGGUUUGGAUCUAAAUGGGACCUGGCCGUGGGUGGCGUUCGCUGGAACAAGACAGGAGGAGACCGGGGUGGUGGAAUAUGCAGCUGACCCGUGCGAGCAGGAGACCCGCCGUGACUCCGCCGCCUUCCAGGUCACCGGGGAGUUCACAGCGGACGAGGAGUACAGCGGGUUGAUAACGGUACAGACGCGGGACAAGAGCAGCAUCUCUCCCUCUGCAUCCUCCACAGGAGGAGGGGAUGAUGCCAACCCUACCUACCACCACCACCUGUGCGUGUUGAAGAACGGAAGCUGGGUGUCGGUGGGACCGGACAGGUUGCAGAUCAACAACGACGCAGGUCUCCCGGCAGACUACAUCCCUCGGUGGGGUAUGGCGGUGCUGAUCGUGCUGCUGACCCUGGUGUGCGGGGUGCUGAGGAGCGUGAACCUCAGCCUGUUGUGGCUGGACCCCCUGGAGCUCUACGUUUUCCACAGCUGCGGCUCGGAGGAGGACAAACGGGCCGCCAAGCGCCUCGAGCCAAUCCGGAGACGAGGCAACUGCCUGGUGUGUUCUCUGCUGUUCCUGUGCGCUCUGGGCCACUCGGUUCUCGGUGUGCUACUCUACAGGGUCCUGGGUUCCAUAGCGCCUGCCGUCUUCGCCAGCGGGUUCCUCAUCUUCCUGGUGUCAGAGCUUGUUCCCCACAUAGUGUGUUCUGGCUACGGCUUCCAGCUAGCCCCAGGCUUCACCUGGCUGGCACAGGUGUGUAUGGUGCUGACGUGCCCUCUGUCGUGCCCGCUGGGCCUGGUGCUGGACCUGGUGUUGAGACGUGACAUCAGCACCUGCGGUGUGAGGGAGAGAGCCAUGGAGAUGAUCCGCACCAAUGUCAAUGAUCCCUACAGUGAGUUUGUGAAGGAGGAGUUUAGUCGUGGUGCGCUACGCAGGAAGACAGUGGAGGACAUCCUUACUCCACUGAACGACUGUUUCAUGCUGCCGUCCACCGCUGUGCUGGACUUCUCCACCAUGUCAGAGAUCAUGCAGAGUGGAUACACACGAGUCCCCAUCUAUGAAGAGGAGAAGUCCAACAUCGUGGAGAUCUUGUUCGUGAAGGACCUGGCUCUGGUCGAUCCUGACGACUGUACUCCCAUGACGACCAUCACCAAGUUCUACAAUCACCCACUACACUUUGUCUUCAACGACACUAAACUGGACGCCAUGCUGGAGGAGUUCAAGAAAGGAAACUCUGCCCUGGCCAUUGUUCAGAAGGUGAACAACGAGGGGGAGGGGGAUCCCUUCUACGAGGUGCUGGGAUUGGUCACCUUGGAGGAUGUCAUCGAGGAGAUCAUCAAAUCAGAGAUCCUGGAUGAGUCAGACGGCUACAUGGACAUGAAGGUGAAGCGUCCCCUGGCCCCUCUGGAGAUUCCUCUGGAACCUCGCAGCGUCCACCAAGAGUUCUCUCUGUUCAAACUCCCAGAGGGAGAACCCAAGAUCCGCACCUCACCUCAGCUACUGCUGGCCACACACCGCUUCCUCUCCAGAGAGGUAGAGCACUUCAGUCCAUCCCGUGUGUCAGAGAAGGUGUUGUUCCACCUGCUCCGUCACCCCAGUGUCAACCAGGAAGUUCACUUUGACCCCUCUAACCGCCUGAGCCCCGACCACUACCUCUACACACGCAACCACCCCGUAGACUACUUCAUACUGCUACUACAGGUCAGUGUGCAUGUAUUUUGUGUGUGUGUGUGUGACUACUACCUCUACACACGCAACCACCCCGUAGACUACUUCAUACUGCUACUACAGGGGCGUGUGGAGGUUGAAAUCGGUAAAGAGGGCUUGAAGUUUGAAAAUGGAGCGUUCACAUACUACGGUGUGUCUGCACUCACAGCGCCAACCUCAGUGCACCAGUCUCCAGUUUCGACCCAGCAUCGUCCUCCCAGGGAUCCAUUUGAGAUGGGAGACGCCACCAGCCCGUCCAGCUACUGUCCUGACUACACCGUCCACGCCCUCACUGACCUGCAGCUCAUACGGGUGACUCGCAUGCAGUACCUGAAUGCUUUGAUGGCGUCGCGUGUUGGCCAGAGCCCAGAAUCUCCUGAGAUCAAGAUCCUGCCUAACAGUCAGACCAAGCUGCUCAACGAGAGGAACACUGUCACACAAGAGUUCCCUGUAAACUUUUCCUUUUUUGACACCAUUGAGAACUACUGUUAGUGUUUUCUGUGUGCAUGAGGUAACAAAACACAGUCUCCUCAGUGGCAUGACAACUACAACACACACACACACUAAAAGGACACCAAGGCAUUGAGAGAAUUACAUUUUCAGUCAGUCACAAAGCACCUGAGAGUCAUUUAGGGAUUUUUUCAGACUUGAGAUCUGCAACUGAAGUCUUCUAUUGACAUCACUGUAUGGUUUAUGUAAAAGUUAAGCAUGCAGAUUUCAAGUCUGAAUAUGGCCUUUAGAAAGGUUAGUCUCUUUGCCAGAUCCUUCACAGACACUGGGAUAAAGCUUUGUGUGGAAUGUACCCAGUUAGAGGGGUUCUUUUAGACUGUUUCUUCUCUAAAUACUUAGUGCCAUUUUAUUUUAGUGCCCUUUAUUUGUAUCUUACAGAUAGUGAGAUGCAAUCAGGUCAGGUUGAAUGAGAGGGUGUGUGUGUGUGUGCGCGGUUUGGAAAUAGAGGUGUGUAUGUGCUUGAAAAGCUUAUGUUUGUUUCCUUGUUCUAUCUCGUCGCAUCUUUCUGUCCUUUUCUGGCUGCCCCAUCUCAUCCCUCUCUACUGGGUGGCAGUAAAUCCCAGGAAAGUUCAACGGAAGAGGAGGCUCAUGGGUAAUGAAGUUCUCUCUGUCAGAACUAUGUGUGUUACUCAGACAACCAACAAGGAGGCUUUUUUUUAAUAUAUAUAUAUUUUUAUCAGUGAAUCUCUUAUCUCUGGAAUGCAGUGAUUGGACCUGGCUGAGUGAGCGUCUGUGUGUGUGGUGUGUGUGCAUGUGUGUGGCUACUGCACUAUCCUCAGCCGUUUUCCUCAUUCAUUAUACGUUUCACACCAAUCGUGUGUGUGUGUGCGCCUCUCCUCCCUGUUGUAAUUCAGCCUCCUUUGCCUAAAAGUUACAUUGCGUGUUCCUUCAUUAUUAGCCUAUCUGUGUGCCAAAGCAACUCACGUCAACCCCCUGUGUGUGUGCAAUUGUGCGUGCGUGUUGUCACAACCCGUCCAUCCAAGCAUUAGACACAGAUUGGUCAAAAAAAGCCACUUCACAGAAAUGUUUACACCGCUUUUGGUGAUUUGCUUUAGUUUGAUUAUACGUCCAUAUUUUAUUUGAUACACUCCCACAUAUUUGUCUAUCUAGACCUAAUGGAAGGCCUGUAUACAGUAUAUCAGGAAACCUACGGGAUGAUUGGAACUGUUUUCUCUAGUUAAAGGGCUAGAUCACCCAACAUUAAAGAAACAAAUAUGUAUUUGAAAAUGUUCGUACUAUCCCUUUAAGAGAGCUGAUGUAACACUCCUGUCCAUUCCAUUGCACAGUCAAUGUUUAGCUUCAGGUCUGAGCUGUGAUGGGAGCGGUGUGUGUGUGUGUGUGUGUGUGUGUGUGUGUGUGUGUGUGUGUGUGUGUGUGUGUGUGUGUGUGUGACCUCUCUUACGGCCGCCAACUCUGACCCAGUCUGCUUUCAUCCAUUCCUUUUGUUUGGCCAAGUUGCCAUAGAGACAAUCACAAUACCCUUUAUUCACUCAGUAUAUUUACCCAGACACCAUACAGAAUAGAUAAAACAGACACAAGUCCACAUAGACACCAUACAGAAUAGACAAUAUGUUUGUGUUUGUCACAUCUAAAGCACCUUGUUGAUUUUCUCAUCCUUGAUAGCCGAGUAGGUUGAGUUCCAUUAACAUUCCACACACACACAGAAGUGAUAUGUGCUCUUGUGUGGCUGGCCUGGUGUGUGUGUGUGUGCAUGACUGACCGUGUGCGGGACUCUAGUAUUCAGUCUUACAGACUCUUUCAGGAAACUCAAUUUCCCAUGUUGCAGUGUAACUACCCAUGUGUGCAGGGAAUACAUAUGUUACCCACUGUCCUGUGGAGACAGGAAACGCCUAGAUAAAGGCCUGGUCCAGAAUCAACCCCUUGGUCCUUCCCCUAACACCUUCCCCUGGCCCCUAGUUGUCUACCCUUUUGCUCCUAGCCCUUAGUCUAAACAGAUCUGAUGAAAAGGUGAUGGCAGCACCUAUCUGGUUGUGGGGAUAGGAGUCUUUGGAGUAGGGAAUGAGGCUGGCGUCUUUGGAGUGGGGAAUGAGGAUAGGAGUCUUUGGAGUGGGGAAUGAGGAUAGGAGUCUUUGGAGUGGGGAAUGAGGAUAGGAGUCUUUGGAGUGGGGAAUGAGGAUAGGAGUCUUUGGAGUGGGGAAUGAGGAUAGGAGUCUUUGGAGUGGGGAAUGAGGAUAGGAGUCUUUGGAGUGGGGAAUGAGGAUAGGAGUCUUUGGAGUGGGGAAUGGGGAUAGGAGUCUUUGGAGUGGGGAAUGGGGAUAGGAGUCUUUGGUGUGGACCAGAGACUCUACCAGGGUCAUAUUCAUUAGUGCACACUGUAGCAAAAUGUUUUGAAACAGAAAACAAAAAUAAACAUUUCUUAUUGGACAAGUUUAGGUAGUCCCUCCCUGUUUCAGUACGUUUUCUUCCGUUUGGUGCCUAAUGAACACGACCCAUGUUUCCCAGCAACUAUGAUAGCGGUUGGCUAUUUUGGUGGGCAUCUUGGUUGCCUCAGUCGUUCUCCACCCCAUAAAGUUUUUUUUUGUUGUUGAUCUAAUUACAGACAUAUGCUAAUUAAUGACAUAUGCUAAGACAAGGGAUUAACUAUGUGAUUCAAAGUAAAUAUUUUCCAUCUGUUUUAACAAUAUUGUACUGUUGGUUAUGUUUCAAGUCCAUUUAUAUUGUAUUAAAAGACAAUGUAUAUUGUAAAAAAGGUCAUUACUUAUGCUACUUAUAUUGUUUGGGAGAAAUGUUGGUUUUUUUGAUGGGGUAGAAAACUGUAUAUUAAUAUAUAUGCUUAUCUAGAGAGAAUAUGAAUCAAGGAUGCAGAUUUAAGCUCGUAGUUUUCAGGUACAAAUGUAGAAUAAUGUUACCAUGAUGAUGAUGAUGAUGAUGAUGAUGAUGAUGAGAACCGGACCAGCGCUAGUUUCUCUCCAGGAAUUUUUUUGUAUAGAUUUUUUUCCCAAUUCUCUGGAAGCUGAGAGUUGUGUGCAGAGAACAUUGCAUUGAACUAUUUCAAUAUCUGCUGUUUCAUAGUAAAUAAACCCAGUCCUUGUAUA